rnacentral:rRNA from 1 species
UUUGGUUAAGUUAGAAAGGGCGCACGGUGGAUGCCUUGACACUAGGAGUCGAUGAAGGACGGGACUAACGCCGAUAUGCUUCGGGGAGCUGUAAGUAAGCUUUGAUCCGAAGAUUUCCGAAUGGGGAAACCCACCAUACGUAAUGGUAUGGUAUCCUUAUCUGAAUACAUAGGGUAAGGAAGACAGACCCAGGGAACUGAAACAUCUAAGUACCUGGAGGAAGAGAAAGCAAAUGCGAUUUCCUGAGUAGCGGCGAGCGAAACGGAACAUAGCCCAAACCAAGAGGCUUGCCUCUUGGGGUUGUAGGACAUUCUAUACGGAGUUACAAAGGAACGAGGUAGACGAAGCGACCUGGAAAGGUCCGUCGUAGAGGGUAACAACCCCGUAGUCGAAACUUCGUUCUCUCUUGAAUGUAUCCUGAGUACGGCGGAACACGUGAAAUUCCGUCGGAAUCUGGGAGGACCAUCUCCCAAGGCUAAAUACUCCCUAGUGAUCGAUAGUGAACCAGUACCGUGAGGGAAAGGUGAAAAGCACCCCGGAAGGGGAGUGAAAGAGAUCCUGAAACCGUGUGCCUACAAAUAGUCAGAGCCCGUUAACGGGUGAUGGCGUGCCUUUUGUAGAAUGAACCGGCGAGUUACGAUCCCGUGCGAGGUUAAGCUGAAGAGGCGGAGCCGCAGCGAAAGCGAGUCUGAAUAGGGCGUUUAGUACGUGGUCGUAGACCCGAAACCAGGUGAUCUACCCAUGUCCAGGGUGAAGUUCAGGUAACACUGAAUGGAGGCCCGAACCCACGCACGUUGAAAAGUGCGGGGAUGAGGUGUGGGUAGCGGAGAAAUUCCAAUCGAACCUGGAGAUAGCUGGUUCUCCCCGAAAUAGCUUUAGGGCUAGCCUUAAGUGUAAGAGUCUUGGAGGUAGAGCACUGAUUGGACUAGGGGUCCUCAUCGGAUUACCGAAUUCAGUCAAACUCCGAAUGCCAAUGACUUAUCCUUAGGAGUCAGACUGCGAGUGAUAAGAUCCGUAGUCAAAAGGGAAACAGCCCAGACCGCCAGCUAAGGUCCCAAAGUGUGUAUUAAGUGGAAAAGGAUGUGGAGUUGCUUAGACAACUAGGAUGUUGGCUUAGAAGCAGCCACCAUUUAAAGAGUGCGUAAUAGCUCACUAGUCGAGUGACUCUGCGCCGAAAAUGUACCGGGGCUAAAUACACCACCGAAGCUGCGGAUUGAUACCAAUGGUAUCAGUGGUAGGGGAGCGUUCUAAGGACAGUGAAGUCAGACCGGAAGGACUGGUGGAGUGCUUAGAAGUGAGAAUGCCGGUAUGAGUAGCGAAAGACGGGUGAGAAUCCCGUCCACCGAAUGCCUAAGGUUUCCUGAGGAAGGCUCGUCCGCUCAGGGUUAGUCAGGACCUAAGCCGAGGCCGACAGGCGUAGGCGAUGGACAACAGGUUGAUAUUCCUGUACCACCUCUUUAUCGUUUGAGCAAUGGAGGGACGCAGAAGGAUAGAAGAAGCGUGCGAUUGGUUGUGCACGUCCAAGCAGUUAGGCUGAUAAGUAGGCAAAUCCGCUUAUCGUGAAGGCUGAGCUGUGAUGGGGAAGCUCCUUAUGGAGCGAAGUCUUUGAUUCCCCGCUGCCAAGAAAAGCUUCUAGCGAGAUAAAAGGUGCCUGUACCGCAAACCGACACAGGUAGGCGAGGAGAGAAUCCUAAGGUGUGCGAGAGAACUCUGGUUAAGGAACUCGGCAAAAUGACCCCGUAACUUCGGGAGAAGGGGUGCUUUCUUAACGGAAAGCCGCAGUGAAUAGGCCCAAGCGACUGUUUAGCAAAAACACAGCUCUCUGCGAAGCCGUAAGGCGAAGUAUAGGGGGUGACACCUGCCCGGUGCUGGAAGGUUAAGGAGAGGGGUUAGCGUAAGCGAAGCUCUGAACUGAAGCCCCAGUAAACGGCGGCCGUAACUAUAACGGUCCUAAGGUAGCGAAAUUCCUUGUCGGGUAAGUUCCGACCCGCACGAAAGGUGUAACGAUUUGGGCACUGUCUCAACCAGAGACUCGGUGAAAUUAUAGUACCUGUGAAGAUGCAGGUUACCCGCGACAGGACGGAAAGACCCCGUGGAGCUUUACUGUAGCCUGAUAUUGAAUUUUGGUACAGUUUGUACAGGAUAGGCGGGAGCCUUUGAAACCGGAGCGCUAGCUUCGGUGGAGGCGCUGGUGGGAUACCGCCCUGACUGUAUUGAAAUUCUAACCUACGGGUCUUAUCGACCCGGGAGACAGUGUCAGGUGGGCAGUUUGACUGGGGCGGUCGCCUCCUAAAGUGUAACGGAGGCGCCCAAAGGUUCCCUCAGAAUGGUUGGAAAUCAUUCGUAGAGUGCAAAGGCAUAAGGGAGCUUGACUGCGAGACCUACAAGUCGAGCAGGGACGAAAGUCGGGCUUAGUGAUCCGGUGGUUCCGCAUGGAAGGGCCAUCGCUCAACGGAUAAAAGCUACCCCGGGGAUAACAGGCUUAUCUCCCCCAAGAGUCCACAUCGACGGGGAGGUUUGGCACCUCGAUGUCGGCUCAUCGCAUCCUGGGGCUGUAGUCGGUCCCAAGGGUUGGGCUGUUCGCCCAUUAAAGCGGUACGCGAGCUGGGUUCAGAACGUCGUGAGACAGUUCGGUCCCUAUCCGUCGUGGGCGUAGGAAAUUUGAGAGGAGCUGUCCUUAGUACGAGAGGACCGGGAUGGACGCACCGCUGGUGUACCAGUUGUUCUGCCAAGGGCAUAGCUGGGUAGCUAUGUGCGGAAGGGAUAAGUGCUGAAAGCAUCUAAGCAUGAAGCCCCCCUCAAGAUGAGAUUUCCCAUAGCCUAAGCUAGUAAGAUCCCUGAAAGAUGAUCAGGUUGAUAGGUUCGAGGUGGAAGCAUGGUGACAUGUGGAGCUGACGAAUACUAAUAGAUCGAGGACUUAACCAUAUAA